UGCAGAUACAUAUCAGACAGACAGACAGACAGGUGUAUUUCAUAGAUGUGGCCAUGAGGCGAAUAGUACAAAAUGACAACUUAGAUUAAAUGUUUACAGAGCGCAUAGACAUGAUUUUGUUUACAAAAAUUGCUAGACGGAGUAUUAUGUUAGGGUUCUUAGUAUUUAGAAGAUGUACAAAUUUUUGUUUAUUUGGAUUCAUAAUAUAGAUACUGGGUAUGUAAUGAGUUCUUACCGCUGCAUAUAAAGGACAUUUCAUUAACACAUGAUACUCAUCUUCUGGUACAUUUUUACAAUAAUCGCACAUAGCUACACUAAUGUCAUUGUCUUUAGAUCUUCUAUACGAAACUAUUUUUAAAUUGGUGGAGCCGCAUCUGAAUUUUGUUAAGACUCUGCGCAGAUGUAACGAAGAGAGUGCGAUCAAAUAUCAGAUUUAAAGGCAGAAUACAUAUGCAGUAAUUUUGAGUUUCUUAUAUCUUGUGUCCAUUCUUGAUAGUACAUGUCUUUACAACAUAUCUUGUAUUUUCAAUGAUAUA